UGGAUUAACUAUUCAAAACCACAACCUACUGUCUUUUAUCCUCACAUUAAAAAAACGUCUCCUUCAAAGUACUCAGCGAUCAAACCCCUUGUCAGGCAAGGGAUGAAAGGCAUUCUAAUAGCGCGCUGAAGAGCCGCUUCUAACAGGCACUCAGAGCACCUCGCGGCCCAUACAUAUGCACGCUCACGAGACGCCCGCGCGUAAACACAUUUGUCGUUAGAGCUUUCGGCCAAGGGUGCUUGCCCGGUCACCCAUAUCCAUACGAAUGGAGAAAGCAAGGGCUGAGUGGUCGGGGGUGCCGGAGUGCAUAAACAUGCAGCUGCUCCAGAUGCAGAAAAUGGCGAGCGGUGCUUUUGCCGCCGGCGCCCAGUCCUUGACCGGAGUGUCAGUCCCGUUUAGCCGGAGGCGGGGGCUGUCAGAGCGAGAACAGGUGCUGUAAUCUUCACCUCUUCACAGUCGAGCAGGCAGACUUCAGCUCCAGAUCGCUGCGGCUCAGAGCUCCAUGGGUGAAAGUCAAGUCUAAGUAGUGAUGGUCACUUUCUCCCUCUUCUUCCUCUGGCUUUACAUUUCACCUUCUUGUUCUUAAGCUCACUGUGACGAAAAAGUCGACUUGCAGUUUGCAACCGUUUCAUGGACUCUUCCCAUAGGAAUACUCAUAAGAGGUUGCCAACGUUGAGGUAGGCUCCCAAAGAUGUGGUUAAAUGUGCACGUUUAAGAGUAAGCGGGCAAGGAGGCCCACACUAACACCCCAGGCCUGUUGCAUAAUUCAGAAAUGCGGAGGUGACCAUGAGUUAGGUCGAUAGGGCACAUUAAUACAGUUAAUGUAUUUUAUGCCAAGUUAUUAGACAGAAUAGGCAUUAUUAAAUAUGGCAUGCAAUGUAAGAACCUGAAAUGAACCUUCCUCAUCUGUUCUUGCCUGUAGGGCAAACACCAAAAGAAGAUGAAUUUCUUUUCAACUCUGACAAUAUUGUUUUUUAAACUUCGUCACACAUAUAAGCUGGAACCAACAACGACGUGUAUUUAACCGCACACGGUACAUUCCAGGUGCCCGCAGGACUCUCGUUCAUAGUAUGCACACUCAAGAAAGUUGUGCCACCAUACAGUGAGCCACGCACACCCUAAAUGGCAGUAGCUUAUUUUCAGAAGUGAGGCCGAGCACCUGGGUUAUCUUACUAUAUAACAUUGACUACAUUAGGGCAGUAGGACAGCUGCAGCCAAAACAUCAUUUGGCUCUUAUUUUGCUCUUAGUUUUAAGUUAAUAAACUCGCCAUACAUUUUUUUUUAUUAACACGAUUGACUUGAGUUGAGUUUUGAUAUUCAUGGGCUUGAGCACUAAUGAUUUUGACUAGGACUCAAGCAUUGACUGCAUUCGGACUCGGAAGUUGGAGACGAGGACUCGGGUGUGCAUGUUUGCAAGUGCAUUUGUUUGGCUAUUGUGUCACACACCUUAAAUAAUUUCCCUUUGGACUGAAUGGUGACAGGUUUAAUGUAGACCUUUUUUAAUUGUAUGUCAGCUCUUUGACUGUGCCAGAGUGGAGUACUGGAGCCCACCUUGAAACUCAACUCAGACUCCACUUUGACUCAGUUAAUGGGUUCUUGACUCAGACUCUUCUUUGGUGACUCAGACUUGGACUCGAACACUGGAGACUGGAGACUCGACUCAGACUCAAGCUUUAGGGACUUGACUACAACACUGAUGAAAGCUCAUUAGAGCCAAUCCUGUUUUUAGAGCCAAUGUCUCUGUCAUAGUGAUUCUCAGGUAUGUCUAUAAACAUCUCAUACAGCUAAAUAACUUUUUUCCGCCAAAGCAGUGGAAACAGGCAUCGUCGGUAGAACUUGAAUUAUACUGCGAAUGUUUGGGUAGGCUACAUGUGUCUCUUUUAAGAUGAGGCACAGAUCAGGAUCAACCACCUCGAGUUCCAGCUCCACAUCUGCC
ensembl:lncRNA